rnacentral:lncRNA from 1 species
CCACACAUGCACAUCUUGAUUUGACUUAUUGACUUGUUUCUUUGGAUCCAUGGUUUGACUAUACAAUAAAUGUCUUGUAAGUAUGUAUACUUUAUCUCCCACCUAUGAGCUCCAGAUAUAAAAGCCUUAUUAGAAUAGGGUGAGAGAGAAGGCAAUGUCACUAUGCCGUAUACCACAAAUACUACAUACUUUUAGAGAAGGCAUAUACCAUCACUGCCUUGGUAAGGAUCCAGAAAUACCACAAAAGAGAGACUAAAGAGAGUCAUACAAGGAAUCUCUGAGUUUUAUUUGAAAAUCUACAAAAACUCCAGAGCUAUAGCUGAUCAAGAAUAAGAGACAUGGCACUUGAAUAGACCGUUCUAUCUUUUAACUACUCAAGACAGAAGUGACGGUUACAAGUCCCAUGGUGGAAGGUAAAAUGAAUAAGUUUUAAGUCUUGACAGUUUACUCUAACUCAGAGACUGUUGACGGUCCUUAAGUAUCAAAUUUAAUUAUCAAGUAAACAAAGAAAAGGAUCCAAAUGAAAUCAACAUCUAGACUUAGGGUUUUAUCUGACAGAAUUCCACGAGUUUUGGUGUUUGUCUAUUUCUGCAGGGGGUUAUCAGGAAAUAAGGAAGAAAGGCCCACAUGUCAGGAUUACAUAGAGAUAUCAACGCACUGCGCAAUUUUCUAUCAUCUAGAAGACUCCAGAAGCCACGGGAAGGAAGCGGAGGCCGAACGGGGCCAGGCCCAGGGCGCCCGCCCUGGUGACCUGGGUGCCCGCCCCCUGUUGGAUGCCAAUCAGGACUCUCUUCGCACGGGAUGUUCCACCGACCUAUUGGAUCGAGGAAAACAUAGUACCACCUCGCCUACCGACCCAAAAACGCAUAGAGGAGGAGGACUAUAUAAGGAGACUCCCCAGGCCCCUGGAGGAGACAAUAAAUUAUCAUAGAGAUUGAGGGGUGCCCUCGAAGGAAAACCUCUUCUCUAAUUAAUAUUUCUUUUUAGGCUUAGCAACCAAUGUAAAGUAGAAAUAGAUCUUCUAGUUUCUACUAGAUUGAGAGAGAUAGAGUGGAGGUGUAGAUCGGAGGAAGGCCGGCCUGUCGGUGUCUACUUCGAGUUGUACCUACGGGAUCAAGUCUCCCAACCCGAGGCUUGCUUCUAAGAUUCUUCAGUAAUUCGACUUCUAAUUCUAGUAAGUUCUUGUUUUAUUGUUCUUUGGUUUAUGAGUUUAAUCCUCUUCCGGUUGAGUAUUAGAGUAAUCACUUGCUAGCGUAAACAUGGUGUUUAGGCUAGGGUACUCAUAGAUAUCCCCUGACUAGCUGGACCGUGGUAGUAGCGAGGAACGUGAAAUUUCCGAGUUACCUUUGUAUCCCAUAUCUUGUUAGCAGGACGGGUAGGUUUAUAGGUGCGGGUCGAACAUCCUUUGUGUUGUCUAAAUUCUGUGAGCCUCCCCAAUAGAACAGUAGAUCAUCCUUACCAAGGUUAGAACGAGACUACGGUUGCAGUCUUCUCUAUACAUCACUCACAUCGAGAAACAUUCUUUGUAGCCUAAAGGGAUAGUAGCAAUAGAUUUGGUUAGUUAGAUGCACCCUUUCUCCCAGUGGUAAAAAUAUAAAUACGAUACUCUGGAAAACCUCCGUGUGCUUGCGGAUCAUUUCCUUAUUGCGUUACCAAAUAUCAACAAGCAUUUCUGGCGCCGUUGCUGGGGAGAAAGACGGUUUGCUGAGAUAACUUUGAGUCUUGCUAUUAUCUUGUAUUAUACUUUUAUACUUUUAUUCUUUUAUCUUUUUAUUUUUAUCUUUAUGGAUAACUCAAAUUCCAUACUUAUUAUUAAAUUCUUUGCACCUUUGGAGACCAGCCAUAGACCAUGGGAGUCAACACGUCCUGCCCCUAAUUAUGAUCUGUGUCCGGAGUUGAUUGCAAUAGGUCAAAACCAACCCUUUUCUAUAGCCGAGGUCCUAUCUUUUAAUCAAGAACAUAAUGCACUUUUAGCUACACCUAGGGAAUCUUUUAAUCUUUCUAUAAAUUCUAGUUUAGACCUAGCCCUACAAGACCAUGUUUUUCCUAAAUAUUUUCACAUUGGUCUUAAUCAUAUAACCUUUGGUAGAGUCCUUCUUUCUUUAUCUAUUAGUAAAGUAAGGUAUGUCUUCAUUCGUGGACAUCCUUCUUGCACUAGUCUUUAUAGAAAAAUCUUAGAAAUAGAGAAGGGAUCAUCUCCCAUACGAGGAAAGGAAGUUUCAAUAGCCAAUUUCCAAACAUUUCAAUCCCAUAAUUCGGCUAUCCAACCCAUCCUUGAGUUUAAUAAUCUCUACUAUGCUAUUUCUCUUGAACCUCCCGAUAAUCCUAUGAAUCUAUCUAGACAUCCCAUGCAUAAGAAGGAGGAUCGAGAAGAGCAACAUCGAUGGCUAGAGGGCAUUAAAAAUCCAUGUGCUAUCACCAUUGAAUGGAUAGAUAAAACAAACUUGAGAGACAAUCCUAGAGGAAUUUUAAGCAUUCUUGAAGAAUCAUCCUUGGAGUUUGAGAAUGAGAGAAACAACAGUGAGCAUGGAAGUUAUUUCAUAAAUACCUUACCAAGUCCUUGCUCAUAUAAAACAUCUCCCCAAUCAAUCGGUCUCUCCAUCAUCACCACAUUUGAGAUCUCCAACCCCCUCUUCCUUUUUAUUUAUAAAAACUUUAAAAGGGCGUCGAUGCAUAUGUCUAUAAUAAAUAUUGCAGAUCUCGUUGAGUUGAUCUUGAUAUAGGUCAGCGUUGGAGGGGAAACCACUUCGCCGACAUAAAUUAAUGGUUUCCCAAGGACAAGCUUAGCGUCCUUAAACAAGCACUUAUCAGAUCGUAACAUGAACUUUUAAUUAUUUGCAACAUUGCCUUGUGUAUUGAGCAUAUGAGAUAAUUGUAGAAAUAUUCCUUCGAGUAUUCUUGCCACUAACCUUUCCAGGAUUAGAGCAAGAAGAUCGGAUGAAUGACAAGCGCAAGGUAUGCCCAACCAGUCAACAUGCAACAUUGAAUUAAAUUCAUCCAAUCUUGAAUUUUGCAAAAAUUCAAGCUUGGGGGAGUACUUCACAUAAAAACAUCCUUUGCCAUGUUGCUAUGUUGGUUGUCCUUACCUUUGAGACAUGCUCAAUUUGUUAAAUACUAAUUACACUACUUCAUCUCCACUUAAGUAGAUCUCUAUAAGCCAUCAUGCUACCUUUGUUUAUCCUAGUAAGUGUUAGUUUGGAAGUACUGUACAUACUUCUAUUGGCUUUAAAAUUAAGCGUGGUGAUUAGGUUAAAUAGCCUCCCUUAAUCUGAUUAGACAUGGAGUCUAGUUUGGUUACUGAACUAAAAACUGCUUGAGUAGGCAUUGGUAUAUUUUGUCGGACUAACCCCUGUAGGAAAACUGUUAAUAUCAACCUGGGAAGUCCUGAGAUAAACUCACAUUAGAGACAAGGAGAGGGACACAUGAAGUUUAACAAUUUACACGAGGAAGACGUAGCUCAUAAGAGAUGAUCCAUGGAGGGUGCCACAAACACGAUGCACAACCGCUAAGAAAGGAAAGCUUCUACAAGGUGAUACUGUACCGCCACUCUUCAAGUAAGGUAACAUUCUAAGGUACUUGACUAUCACUUUUAUAAUUUUCUCCUUGGUUCUAGCAUUCACAUAAAUAAAGAGACAAACAUGUAUGAUUUAUAACUCCAAAUUAACCAACCCAAUUAAUUCAACAUGAGUAGUCCUUUAAUCUUUGUUCUUAGUACUACCUUCGUGAUCCCACACUCCUAAUCAUAUAAGCUAAAGUAUUGCACAUUCAAUCUUUGGAAGAUAUAAACAAAACAUAAAUAUAGAUAGAUUAUCUUUCCAUUAGGUUGAGCCAUCUAACAAAUGUUUUAAAUGCUACACUCAUGAUCCAUCAACUUUGUCUUGCUCACUAUGCUUAAGGUUAGAGAAGAACAAAUACACUUUUGGUUCUGUGGUGUUUUCCACCAACAGGGCCCAUGCACUUGAUCUCCGCCUUGUCUCUAUGAACAGGUACACUUCAAACAAAACAUGGAGGAGUUUUACAACUCCUAGAUUCCACCAAGUGAAGAACCGGGAUCUACGAGCACAAAACACAAUGGAGAUCGGACACUUAGUUUUCCAAAGAAAAUAUUGAAAAACCUCUGUGUCCGAGUUGGUACCUUGUAUGCUCCAGUAAACUUCAUGGUGAUAGAGACUGGUACUGAGGAGAGGGCAUCCAUCAUCUUAGGGAGGCCAUUCCUAAACACCAGAGCUGUCAUCUAUGCUAAUGCUGCCAAGAUCAGUCUCUACAUCAAAGGGAAGAAGGAGACUUUCCUUCAAGAACAAGACUACACAAACUUCAGAGCAAUCCUGACAUGAACCAAGGAAGAGGACCAACAGGAGGAACAAGAACAAGCAAAUGUGGACCGAGUCAGCUGAGAUGGUCACUGCAGCUCAAGGAGGUCAAGAUCGUCGACUCAAGUCACCUUUCUUGAUCAAGAAGGACGACCGUGGUGUUCCAAGCAUUGAGUGCACAAUCAAUGGAUACUCUUUUUAGAAGACACUCUACGACACCGGAUCUGACGACAACAUAAUGGCCGCAGUCACUUAUCAGCUCCUGCAUGGAACCAUGCCCCUACAACUAAGAUACAUUCAACUUCAGAUAAUUUUCAGGUCAUUAACAUGGGAGAAGACGAGUAUGAUGCACCCACCAUCCUUGGAAGACCGUUCCUCAACACUAUCAAAGCAAUCAUCUACAUUGGAACCGGAGAAGUCCACGUGUAUUUCCCCUCUGAGAAGGUACGCCACUAAUUUAAUGAUUCUAACUAUGUAGUUGAAGAUUCUAAGCAGGUCAGGACAAGAAGAAGACAACGCAACCGCAACCAGAGGAGGCAAGUCAUCAAGGACGGAUGGGUAGACUACGAAGGAGAAGUGAUAAGGUCUGAAGACAUACAGCUUGAACAGAAUUAUCCUGAGGAGACCGUAGCACCGAGUCAGGUGUGGAAAGAGAAGAAAGUUAUACACAAAGAGGAGGCGCCGCCGGAACCAUCGACUACGCCACCCAGCAAAUCCCAGGACGACUGAGACAACGGAGAGUCCCGUUUGGAGGACUUAAAAACACCGAACGCCUUGCCAACAGGUAAACUUGGUAGUUAUCCUUUUCCUUUCAAUUAUUCAAUUAUAGUUUGCUUAGUUAAUCAGGUUCAUGCUAUCUUGAAAAGAAAAUAAAAAUGUUAAAAAAAUAGUAAGCCCCAUGUGAGUAUGCUCAUGGCAUAAAACCCAUAAGUACAUUCACUGUGGUGGCAUAAAAAUAAAAUAAAUUAGUUUUCAUCUUACAAUAAAAAUAUAAAAAAUAAUAAGUGCAUGAUCCUGCUAAAUAAGUAACAUUUAUUAAGGAGGCUCAACAUGAUGAAGGCUAGAUAUUUAUGCUAACACAUAACCAGUUCCACAAAGCUUUGUUGUCUAUUUGAGCUCUACAGAAUUUAAGAAUCAAGAAGACUAGCAGACAGAGGACAUUCUAAUCGCUGUCAGAAUGCUACUGACAUUCAAAUACACCUCCGUCACCUGCUAGCACAUCAGAAGAAAUUACGUCAAAAUCCAGCUUGGGGGAGAGCACCCCCAUUUAUCCAGCUAAGUGUUUCUACUCGCAUUUAUACUUUACUCAAAUAAUAAAAGAUGCAUAAUCAUGAAAACCCAAAUAAAGAUUUUGUGCUUUUAUAUAUAUAUAUAUCUUUGCUUAGUUUGCUAAAUAAAUAAAUAAAUAAAGUUUGCUAUGAACACUCAUGAUAAACUCUCACAUGGAAAUGAUGAAUAGUUGCUCUGCCAUGACUAGUUCUUAAAAUUGAAAUCUCUCUCAAGUUUAGGCAUGACUGUUAUGAAGUAAGAUUUGCUCUAAACCUGAACUUGUGGGAAGAGUGCUUGAUCUAAAGUCUAAGUUGUUAACGGAUAUGAUAUGGGAAGGUUGAGCUGCUGUUUAUCUGUUCCUAGAGAUGCUAGAAUUCUGGAGAAUUUUAUCUUUGAAAAAUCUUUAAAAUAACACAUGAUGAGCUCCUAUAUGAUGAGAGUUUAAAUUCCUACCACAGCCAUAUAUACAUGCUUGCUAGACUUUGAGCCACAUAUUUACUUUUUACUACUUAUGAGCAUUGAGUGUGGUCAAGCUGUGUAGACCCUUAGGAGCUUGUCAUGUGGUUAAAAUCAAGAUUCACUUGCACGUUCACUCAUACAUGCUACUACUACUCCGGAAGUACCAUCCACAUAUAUCCACUCAUUUCCAUCUCCAGAUUCAUCCAAAAUUAUUCUACCCCUAAUCUAGGAGAGAAUAGCCAAAAAUAUUGUCCUAUCCCUGUUAUUCCCUGUGAAAUAAAUGCUCGAGUUAUCUUGAUUACUACCACUUGCUAUAUUAUUUAAGGAGAUGAGUGCUCUAAAAAAAGAUAGAAAAAAAUAAUAAUAUACGAAGAAAUAAAAAGGGGCAAGUGCCCGGAACCUCAAAGAAAAAGAAAAAAAAGUGAGACGAGAGGUAAAAAUGGACAAGUGUCCGACAGUAGAAUUAGGGGUACAAGAUACCCACCUGAGAGGAAAGAAAAAGAAAAUAUCGAGCAUCUCAUUAUCCUCAAAAAGCUUCAAAGUGCAAGAAAGGUAUGUAUCCCCUCAAAAGAGCAAAAGUAGAAUUAGACUUACACCACUAUUAUCACCAUCAUCACCAUACGCCAUUCAUUCGCCACACAUGCACAUCUUGAUUUGACUUAUUGACUUGUUUCUCUGGAUCCAUGGUUUGACUAUGCAAUAAAUGUCUUGUAAGUAUGUAUUAGCUGUCUCCCACCUAUGAGCUCCAGAUAUCAGAACCUUAUUAGAGUAGGGUGAGAGAGAAGGCAAUAUCACUAUGCCUCAUACCAAAAAUACCACAUACUUUGAGAAAAGGCAUGUACCAUUACUGCCUUGGUAAGGAUCCAGAAAUACCACAAAAGAGAGAUCUGAGAGAGUCAUAUAAGAAAUCUCUGAGUUUUAUUUGAAAAAUUUGCAAAAACCCCAGAGCUAUAGCUGAUCAAGGAUAAGCGACAUGGCGCUUGACUUGACCGUUCUAUCUUUUAACUGCUCAAGACACAAGUGACGGUUACAAGCCCCAUAGUGAAAGGUAAAAUGAGUAAGUUUUAAGUCUUAACAGUUUAUUCUAACUCAGAGAUGAGAUCUUGCUUGAAUGCGUGUGUACUUUUAAGGCAUGAAACCACUGCAGAAACUCUUGAGUUCAUCCUUGCUCAGGGACGAGCAAGAGGUAAGCUUGGGGGAGUUUGUUGACGGUCCAUAAGUAUCAAAUUUAAUUAAUAAGUAAACAAAGAAAAGGAUCCAAAUGAAAUCAACAUCUAGACUUAGGGUUUUAUCUGACAGAAUUCCACGAGUUUUGGUGUUUGUCUAUUUCUACAGGGGGUUAUCAGGAAAUAAGGAAGAAAGGCCCACAUGUCAGGAUUACAUAGAGAUAUCAACGCACUGCACAAUUUUCUACCAUCUAGAAGACUCCAGAAGCCACGGGAAGGAAGCGGAGGCCGAACGGGGCCAGGCCUAGGGCGCCCGCCCUGGUGACCUGGGCGCCCGCCCCCUAUUGGAUGCCAAUCAGGACUCUCUUCGCACGGGAUGUUCCACCGACCUAUUGGAUCAAGGAAAACAUAGUACCACCUCGCCUACCGACCCAAAAACGCAUAGAGGAGGAGGACUAUAUAAGGAGACCCCCCUGGCCCCUAGAGGAGACAAGAAAUUAUCAUAGAGAUUGAGGGGUGCCCUCGAAGGAAAACUUCUUCUCUAAUUAAUAUUUCUUUUUAGGCUUAGCAACCAAUGUAAAGUAGAAAUAGAUCUUCUAGUUUCUACUAGACUGAGAGAGAUAGAGUGGAGGUGU